GCAUUUUAAUUUGAUUGUGUGUGUCCUGGUUAACCAUACUGGGAUCAUAAGAGCAACAGAAUUAUUCUAAUUACCUCUUGUGGUCUCGGUACGGCGUCCGCCUUGACUCCCACCCCAUCAAUGAUACAGAGUGUGCAUCGUUUUCGGUGUGCAUUCUGAUUACUUGGUCUGAAAUCGAGCAAGAAACCCGCUGAACUUAA
rnacentral:misc_RNA from 1 species